GAUUUUGAUGUUUUCUUAAGACCAUUGAUUGAUGAGUUAAAAGAAUUAUGGGUGACUGGUGUACAGACUCGAGAUGCAGUCGAUGGCAGUUUCUUCACUCUUCGGGCAGCUUUGAUGUGGACUAUAAACGAUUACCCAGCAAGGAGUAGCCUUUCUGGAUGGACUGCUCAAGCGCCUCCAAGUAAACGUGGACGCCAUAAGGGAUUGAACACGCGGGAAAAGAGGGAACAGUUGGGGCGUCCUCUCCCUCUCGAGUGGGAUGUGCGGGGGAGAACAUAUAAAGAGAUCGGAGAGUACAGCUCAAAUUUCUCAAGAGAGCUCGGAUUACUUGUUCGACAGUACACAGAUCCGGACUGUCCUCAAUGGUCAAAAGUACCAAAUGCCUCGAAAGAAAGAAUACUUGCACAUUUGGAAGUAAGUAGUUUAUGUAUUUUUAUGUUAAUUCUCAUUUUAUGUUAUAUAUGAUAUUUACUAAUAAAUGUUUGUAAAUUAGGAUGAUUUGUUUGAUAUUGGGCGUACUAGAUAUGGAGAAGGGCAUAUGCCUGGGAUCUUGAGAGGCAUUGAUACUUCGUGUGCUAAAAAGUAUUCUGACUGGAAGUACGAUAUUAAAGAGCACUUAACGAUUAAUGGGCCACAAAAUCGUUAUGGUGGUUGCACGGAUACGCAGUGGCAAAAAGCAAUUGAUUUUUUCCGUCGCCCAGAAAUUACGAAACGUUCUGUGGUCAACAAGGAAAAUAGAAAGAAACUGAAAGAGCUUAGCUAUGGAGGUUCUCAGUCAAUCCCAGCCUUACGCUAUA